rnacentral:rRNA from 1 species
UGGGGAAUCUUAGACAAUGGGGGCAACCCUGAUCUAGCCAUGCCGCGUGAGUGAUGAAGGCCUUAGGGUUGUAAAGCUCUUUCAGCUGGGAAGAUAAUGACGGUACCAGCAGAAGAAGCCCCGGCUAACUCCGUGCCAGCAGCCGCGGUAAUACGGAGGGGGCUAGCGUUGUUCGGAAUUACUGGGCGUAAAGCGCACGUAGGCGGAUCGGAAAGUUGGGGGGUAAAUCCCGGGGGCUCAACCCCCGGAACUGCCUUCAAAAACUAUCGGUCUUGAGUUCGAGAGAGGUGAGUGGAAUUCCAAGUGUAGAGGUGAAAUUUCGUAGAUAUUCGGAGGAACACCAGUGGCGAAGGCGGCUCACUGGCUCGAUACUGACGCUGAGGUGCNAAAGCGUGGGGAGCAAACAGGGAUUAGAUACCCUGGUAGUCCACGCCGUAAACGAUGAAUGCCAGACGUCGGGCAGCAUGCUGUUCGGUGUCACA